ensembl:ncRNA K07G5.7 ncRNA
ACGUGGAAUCUGAACUGUCCAAAAUGUCAAUUGGAGGAUCUGGUGAUGCAUGCAGCCUUGGAAGAACGUCAUCUGUGGGGACAGGAUCACCUG